GGGCUAUUAGCUCAGUGGUAGAGCGCGCCCCUGAUAAUUGCGAGCUGCGCCAAGGAAAAGAAUAGAAGA
rnacentral:tRNA from 1 species